rnacentral:pre_miRNA from 1 species
AUAACAUUGGAACCGUUGGUCUACCGAGCAAUUUCACCCGCUCGGUGGAAGUUCUUAGCUUUGUUGU